UAUUAAGUUGCAAAAUUAGUCCUCCGGAAAUAUUUGGGCACUUUUUGCCUUUCCUAGAGACAGAGGGAUGAGUUAAUGUAGCUCUCCGGUGUGGCUUGCAAUGUCCAGAUCAUGUGAUCAUGGGCGCUGGACCCAGUUUCAGCGGUUAACGGGCACAGUGGAAACCCAAGGAGAAAGCGGACUGGGGAAUUGCUGCAUGAGUCAAGGUGUGUUGUCAUUUUGAGCAGAACAGGGGAGAAGAGAGUUGUCACAGUGUGGAGGCGGUGGAGGGAAGGAGUUAAAGGGCCUUUACGAUGUGGACAUCAAAGCGCUCCUGUGACAAAGAACUUCAAGGCAGGCACCCAGACCCAGAGGCAAAUAGUAUAUAAUUAAAAGGAGAACAACUGGGUUCUGACUUAGUCAAGAUAAACAGACCGUAAUUUCCUAGCUGUAGAGUUCCUUAAUGAACACUAGCAAGACACUCAUGGUCAGGACCAGACUGACCACAA